rnacentral:rRNA from 1 species
UACGUAGGGUGCGAGCGUUAAUCGGAAUUACUGGGCGUAAAGCGUGCGCAGGCGGCUUUGCAAGACAGAUGUGAAAUCCCCGGGCUUAACCUGGGAACUGCAUUUGUGACUGCAUGGCUGGAGUGCGGCAGAGGGGGAUGGAAUUCCGCGUGUAGCAGUGAAAUGCGUAGAUAUCAAGAGGAACACCAGUGGCGAAGGCGAGUCCCUGGACAACUUCUGACGCUGAGGCACGAAAGCUAGGGGAGCAAACAGG